rnacentral:rRNA from 1 species
UACGUAGGUGGCAAGCGUUGUCCGGAUUUAUUGGGUUUAAAGGGUGCGUAGGCGGCCCUAUAAGUCAGUGCUGAAAUAUCCCGGCUUAACCGGGAGGGUGGCAUUGAUACUGUAGGGCUUGAGUACAGACGAGGUUGGCGGAAUUGAUUGUGUAGCGGUGAAAUGCAUAGAUACAAUCAAGAACUCCGAUUGCGUAGGCAGCUAACUAGGCUGUAACUGACGCUGAGGCACGAAAGCGUGGGGAGCGAACAGG